AAGUGAGUUUUGGCUCUAUAAAGAAGGCCUGACAGCUUAUGGAGAGGAGAGCAUCUCAGAGAGACUGUGUGUGUCUCAACGCCUCUCAACGAGGGUCCGAGAAAAAUCGUGAACGGCUGAGAGCGCCCAGGACAUCAAUAGCAGCGGCGAAGAAUGGCUGAGGAGCAGCUUAGCAUGAUUAGCAAGUAGACCAGUCAAGAGUGUCCUGGAAUGGUCA
rnacentral:lncRNA from 1 species